rnacentral:misc_RNA from 1 species
CACGACGAGAGUCAUUCAGUUGGGACAAAAUCGAUAGCUACGGGCAUAGACGAGAUAUUGUCGUCAUACCUAAUGAAUAUUCCGCAUCCGAGAGCUCAAGCGAGCGUUCAUGGGCCAAAACAACUGCGAUUGUAAUUCGAGUUACGUGGGACACAAACGAUGCUUCAAGGUUCGCUACGGUGAAAGCCCAUGGCAUAACGAGCCGACGCCGAGCGAAUGAUACACGAUUGGGCAACAUAAUUCCGUAUAGUAGGCAUUCAACACGGGAAACCAUAGAAAACAGGCAGCCAAGGCAAGGUGCCCUUGUACCAUCAAAUGAAGAGGAACGCACGGCUGGCCGUCACUGUCUCAACAAUGAUCCAACCAACCCAUAC